CCCCUAGAUGUCCUGGGCCGCACGCGCGCUACACUGAGUGUCUGAGAUACGAGUCUGCCUGGUCCGGCAAGGUCUAGGUAAUCGCUAAAAGACACAUCAUGCUUGGGAUAGAUUAUUGCAAAUAUUAAUCUUGAACGAGGAAUUCCUAGUAAGCGCAAGUCAACAGCUUGCGUUUAUUACGUCCCUGCCCUUUGUACACACCGCCCGUCGCUACUACUGAUUGGAUGUUUAAGCGAGGUUCUCGAACUGCUAGCGACUUAGCUUCGGUGAGGUCGCAGUGUGGGAAGUGAACCUAGCUUUGGUGUCUAGAGGAAGUAAAAGUCGUAACA
rnacentral:rRNA from 1 species